UGUCUGAGGCCUACAGUACUUAAUUAGCGUUUUGGUCUAAUACGUUUCUGACAUACAAAUAUAAUUUAAUAGUCGGAUAAAUAUUGAAAUAAGAAGAUGGAAUUACCAAAAAUGACGCUUUCUUCGGCUUCGUUGUGGAAAGAUGGCGAAGUGAAGUGUACACAGUGUGGUUUCUGCGGAUGGCCCGCGUGUCUUCAGCAGCGGCAGAAUCCUCAGAGGAACUGGCCUGACUCAUCUGCGUCUGUGACAGAGCCCUAGUGGCCGGAUGAUCCUUCAGUUCUGGCUCAGAAGUGACAAGGUGGAGGAAUGCCUGAUUGUGGUGUGAUCUGAUGGCCGGUGGCUUGUGUGUGAAAGGGUCUUAGCCGCAGAAACGCAAAACCUCCCCCUCCACCUCAGCUUGUCCUCUCUCCUCAGGGAACGAAUGGACCGUCUUGCGCUUACCAUUCCUAUGAAGAAAUGAAUAAAAUAGAAAUGAGACAUUCAAGUGACAGCCCCAGCUUUAAAUGAUGCUGGCAAAAGCCAUGAAUUGUCAGUGGGUCUCUCUGGCUGCUUUGUUGAUGAAAUGAAAAAUGUAUUGUCAGGAAGAGAGGAUGAUUUUUUUCUUUCUUUUUCGAGAAUAAUAUGGCGUGAUGAGUGGCCGUCUUCAAUGUUGGGAAUGUGUUGCACAUAGGGCUGAGGCAUAAACAAUAUCAUAUCACUAAAAUUUAUUUUGGUAACGAUGAUAAGGUCUGGAUAUUAUUAUUCAGUACAGAUAAGCUAAUAUUUCUGCAUGUUUGGCAUGUCACUAUGUGAAUGAGUGGUGUAGUUUCGUCUUCUACACAAACUUAAGCACGUGACGCUUCACUGUCUUUAUA